GAUGAACGCUGGCGGCGUGCCUAAUACAUGCAAGUCGAGCGAACGGACGAGAAGCUUGCUUCUCUGAUGUUAGCGGCGGACGGGUGAGUAAAACGUGGAUAACCUACCUAUAAGACUGGGAUAACUUCGGGAAACCGGAACUAAUACCGGAUAAUAUUUUGAACCGCAUGGUUCAAAAGUGAAAGACGGUCUUGCUGUCACUUAUAGAUGGAUCCGCGCUGCAUUAGCUAGUUGGUAAGGUAACGGCUUACCAAGGCAACGAUGCAUAGCCGACCUGAGAGGGUGAUCGGCCACACUGGAACUGAGACACGGUCCAGACUCCUACGGGAGGCAGCAGUAGGGAAUCUUCCGCAAUGGGCGAAAGCCUGACGGAGCAACGCCGCGUGAGUGAUGAAGGUCUUCGGAUCGUAAAACUCUGUUAUUAGGGAAGAACAUAUGUGUAAGUAACUGUGCACAUCUUGACGGUACCUAAUCAGAAAGCCACGGCUAACUACGUG
rnacentral:rRNA from 1 species